rnacentral:rRNA from 1 species
UACGAAGGGGGCUAGCGUUGUUCGGAAUUACUGGGCGUAAAGCGCACGUAGGCGGACAUUUAAGUCAGGGGUGAAAUCCCGGAGCUCAACUCCGGAACUGCCUUUGAUACUGGGUGUCUUGAGUGUGGAAGAGGUGAGUGGAAUUCCGAGUGUAGAGGUGAAAUUCGUAGAUAUUCGGAGGAACACCAGUGGCGAAGGCGGCUCACUGGUUCAUUACUGACGCUGAGGUGCGAAAGCGUGGGGAGCAAACAGG